ACAUCAAAGGAAAUUGAUGUCAGGUGUGAACAGAAGCUGUUGAAUAUAUCUGUUGAGGAAGCUGAGUGGUGUGUCUGGAUGGGAGAGAUGAAGGGCAGCUUAAAACAUUAACAAAACUACAGGGAGAACCUUGAUGUGUGCUCCAAAAUGGAACCCUUUAAGUUUUGACAAAUACAGCUUUCUAUUAAAUCCUUAAAAUCAAUGUUGAUACAUAUUUAAAUGCUACCUGCGUGAAUUUGCAGUAAUUAAGCAAUCUGAAACACUGACUGACCCAGAGAGAAAGCUACUCUAUACCAGUGGUGUCCUUGAAAUGUCUUCAUCAUCAAGCAGUCUCUUCUCUUCAUCUCAGUGAAAGCUAAUGUCAGCACUACUGUGUAGCAACCCUUCCUGUAGAAUAGCUAUUGAAAUCUUAU
rnacentral:lncRNA from 1 species